AUUGAACGCUGGCGGCAGGCUUAACACAUGCAAGUCGAACGAGUGGCGGACGGGUGAGUAAUGCUUGGGAAUCUAGCUUAUGGAGGGGGAUAACUACGGGAAACUGUAGCUAAUACCGCGUACCAUAGGAUGAGCCCAAGUGGGCUUAGGUAGUUGGUGAGGUAACGGCUCACCCAGGCGACGAUCCCUAGCUGGUCUGAGAGGAUGACCAGCCACACUCGGACUGAGACACGGUCAAGACUCUUACGGGAGGCAGCAGUGGGGAAUAGUGGACCAGGGGCGCAAGCCUGUUGCAGCCAUGCCGCGUGUGUGAUGAAGGCUUCCGGGUUGUAGAGCACUUUCAGCGGGGAGGCGUUACCCGUAGAAGCAGCACCGGCGACCUCCGUGCCAGCAGCCGCGGUAAUUC
rnacentral:rRNA from 1 species